rnacentral:rRNA from 1 species
AAUUCGAUUAGAGUUUGAUCAUGGCUCAGAUUGAACGCUGGCGGUAGGCUUAACACAUGCAAGUCGAGCGGUAACAGACAUUUUGAUUUUGCUUGCAAAAUCUCGUGCUGACGAGCGGCGAACGGGUGAGUAACGCGUAGGAAUCUACCUAGUAGAAGGGGAUAGCCCGAGGAAACUCGGAUUAAUACCGUAUACGUCCUUAGGGAGAAAGAGGGCUUAGCUUUGAUGCUCUCGCUAUUAGAUGAGCCUACGUAAGAUUAGCUUGUUGGUGAGGUAAAGGCUCACCAAGGCGACGAUCUUUAGCUGGUCUGAGAGGACGAUCAGCCACAUUGGGACUGAGACACGGCCCAGACUCCUACGGGAGGCAGCAGUGGGGAAUAUUGGACAAUGGGCGCAAGCCUGAUCCAGCCAUACCGCGUGUGUGAAGAAGGCCUUCGGGUUGUAAAGCACUUUAAGUAAGGAAGAAAAGAGUAUUGUUAAUACCAUUACUCCGUGACAUUACUUACAGAAUAAGGACCGGCUAAUUCCGUGCCAGCAGCCGCGGUAAUACGGAAGGUCCUAGCGUUGUUCGGAAUUACUGGGCGUAAAGCGCAUGUAGGCGGAACAGAAAGUUAGAAGUGAAAUCCCUGGGCUCAACCUAGGAAUUGCUUUUAAAACUUCUGUUCUGGAAUUCAGGAGAGGAAAAUGGAAUAUCCAGUGUAGAGGUGAAAUUCGUAGAUAUUGGAUGGAACACCAGUGGCGAAGGCGAUUUUCUGGACUGAUAUUGACGCUGAGAUGCGAAGGCAUGGGUAGCAAACGGGAUUAGAUACCCCGGUAGUCCAUGCAGUAAACGAUGGGUGCUAGUCGUCGGACUUAUGUUCGGUGUCGUAGCUAGCGCGUUAAGCACCCCGCCUGGGGAGUACGGUCGCAAGAUUAAAACUCAAAUAAAUUGACGGGGACCCGCACAAGCAGUGGAGCAUGUGGUUUAAUUCGACGCAACGCGAAGAACCUUACCAGCGUUUGACAUGGGAAGUGCCGGUUACAGAAUGGUAACCUUCAGUUCGGCUGGCUUCCACACAGGUGCUGCAUGGCUGUCGUCAGCUCGUGUCGUGAGAUGUUGGGUUAAGUCCCGCAACGAGCGCAACCCUUAUCGUUAGUUACUAACAGUUCGGCUGAGGACUCUAGCGAAACUGCCGGUGAUAAGCCGGAGGAAGGUGGGGAUGACGUCAAGUCCUCAUGGCCCUUACGGGCCGGGCUACACACGUGAUACAAUGGUAACUACAAAGGGCAGCGAAGGAGCAAUCUGGAGCAAAUCUCAAAAAGUUACCUCAGUUCGGAUUGUACUCUGCAACUCGAGUGCAUGAAGUUGGAAUCGCUAGUAAUCGUAGAUCAGCGCGCUACGGUGAAUACGUUCCCGGGUCUUGUAGA